AGCAUAUCUCAACGACUCUUGCAUUCACUGGGAUUCUUCCAUUCACAUAAACUAUAACAACAUUCAAAUUGCCUUUCUCCUACGCUGCAAUGUUCUUUCACGAUGAUGGUUUUUAAUAUGUUUAAAAGUUCACUUCUGCUAUUUGUUUUGCAGUUGGGAGAUUCAAUAUUUCCAUGACCAUGCAACGUUUACAACAAUUGGUUUCAAACCGGACACCAGGCAUAGAUGUCACAGUAACCAUUGGCAAAUUUACAAAAGUAUGUUGGCUUCUAUUUUUUUUACCCUAAACCCUCCAAACCCCUUAACAAUUAUACUGGGCUGCGGAAGGACAUUAAGUUCUUAAGUUGACUCGAUCACGUAAUCUUUAGGAGACUGCAACAACGUCAAUGCCAACUAAACUAACACUCAAUCCGCAACCUUAACUGAUUCUAAAAAUGGAUGGAACUAAGAACUUUCUAAUAUGAUCACAGAGACUGCGUAACGGCAUCAUAUAUGCACCAUCUAGACUGUGCAAAGAAGAGCACCGCAGCAAGACAUUAACCAUUGGAGGAGCUUAUGAUGAUGAUCAUCUCGCGCUGAUCAACAAUCAUGGGAGGUUUAAGAGCAUUGUUACAGCAUGAAGAGGUAACAAACUCCUUGCUUACAAUCUCAAAUGCUAUUUGAUUUUUAAGCUAUUCAAUGUUACUUUUAGGCUCAUACCUUUAUAUUCUUUUUUGGGUAACCCUAAAAGUAUGUCAAUAACUAGUUCCAUAGAUGAUUAAUAUUAAUUACUCAAAAAUCCACAAUAAAAACCCACAAUUAAAAAAAAACCAUAACAAGAAUUGCAAUAUAGAGCAUUUAAGUUUUAAAAAAUCCCGGAUUCAUCCAUGUCAUAAAACUAAAGCUCAAAAGCAGCAAAAUCCCUAAUUGAUAACAUAACAAAAAACAUUUAGAUUAAUAUUAAAAAAGGGGAUAACCUUAAUCGACACUCUGCAUAAUAUCCUCAGCCGAAAACUUAGUACCCUUAUCCUUAUCAGCGGCAGCGCGUCCUUUAGCCUUACGAUCCAGCAAUGACUUCCGAUCCUUGUCGAGUCUCAGCUUGGUGAUGACAACCUUCGAUGGGUUGAUACCGACGUUGACGGUCGAUCCGUUCACUUUCUCCCGCGUGAUACGCUCAAUGUGGAUC
rnacentral:lncRNA from 1 species